CCAUCUCUCAGCUACUAUGACAUCAGACUGCUAACAGCUCAGCCUUGCCCCUGGGUGUGAACUUCCCUCAGCCAGACCAGAGCUGCCCCACUGGGGAAGUUCCAUGGGUCCCCUCCUUGUCCAAUGAAGGGAAGCCUGCAUCCAAUGACUGGUUAACACAGGGUACAAUAGACCAGCCCCCUUGCCUCAACGUGGGACCCACCCUGUGACACAGUCUGCAUUCCAAAGUCUCCUUGAGCCUAGCCAAGGUCCCCUGGGUGCCAAUGGGCACAGAAGUUGAGAGCUUUACUGACCGUCUGCGUCAAAGUGCUUCCAGAUUUCCAGAAACUGGGAUGCCGUCACCUCGGCCAGGUGCAGGUAAGGGGGCUGCUGCUGCGGGCCAGCCAUGGCGAGCCGCUCGGAGACCUCAGCCUGCACCGCUCCCGCUCCGCGCUGGCUCGACUCUGGCACUGGCGCUCGCGCUGGGGCUGCGCGCCACGGCGCCCUUAUAUAUGCUCCGGAGCCUGCGCCCGCGCCCGGCCGCCAGCAGGGGGCAGGCGAGCUCAGGGAAUCCGGCCGGGGCGCGGCGACGAGAAGGGCUUGGCCUGGACUCCUGCGGGGCCCUCACCUCUUCGCUGAGACCUCUCUGCGCCGGGCCAGGGACAGCUGGAGGCUUUUCGGUGAAAAUGAGGGAGAGGCUGCCCUUGCCUCCUUCGUCGUAGUAACAGCACUAAUAGUAAUACUAACAGCAAUUUGACAAAUAUUUAGCACUCAGGCCCCGGAGUUCACUCAAUCUCUCGCGCCUCCGCUCUCCUGAUCCUUUCAUAGCAGGAAAAGCAGGGACCACUUUUCUGAUGAGGUACUUGUGACUUAAGAUAAUUAGGUGACUUGCCCAGCAAAUUAGUUGCGGAGCUAGAAUUUGAACUCAGCACUCUUUCCACACCCCACGUGGCUCCUUCAUGGGGCCCAGUCUUGCAGAGCAGCCAAGAGUUCUCAAGGCUUUAUUUAUUUAGUGGGGAGCAGCUGGAACCAGCAGUGCCCCGGGAGGAUUCCGAUGGGAGUGGGGUGGGGCAGGGAGGCUUCCACUGUCUGUUUGCGUCCUGGUAUAUCCGUCCUCCUGGGAGCCUCCCUCUACCCCUGGUACCUGCCUCACCCUGGCCGUGGCUGGGGGGCUUUUAGACAUUUGGCCAGGGCGUGGCAGAAGUAGAUCAACCCGUACCAGGUCUUAACCACGCCCACCUAGGGAAAUCGUGGGAAUGGGCCUGCUGCAGUGGGCAGAGAACAACCUCCAACUCUGUCUUGGGGAUGUUCUGAGCUGGUCUCAGAGGACACAUCCUGAGGGGAGUAAACAGCUCCCUCCCACCCCAAGCAGGGAGCUGAGUCCCCUCCCAUUCUCUCCUUUAGUCUGGGCCCGUCGGGGUCUGUCCUGGCCUUGUGGGAAGGUAAGACACCUUUCUCACCGAGUGACAGCAUCAUCCAUCCUUUCUCUCCUCUCCUGCUACCAAGUGACUGAGACUUGAAUUGAUGCUCAUUAACAUGUGCUAAUGAGUGUUAGCUGAAGCACCUUCCAAGAGGCGAGCGAAAGGGAAGGAGAUGCACAGGUGGUCUGUUUCUGGAACGCCCAUUCCUGGAGGACCAAGGAGCCCAAGCAGGUGCCUUUGUCCUUUAUCCCCAAGUUGAGUCCUGCAGAAACAGCCACGUUUAGCAGUUACAAGUUCCUGCCCUGCAGUCAAAGAAUAUGGGCUCAAAACCCUCCUGCUGGUGGUGAGGCCUUGGGCAAAGCUGUUUAACCUCUGUGAACCUUAGUAAAAAUCAAGGUAAUUAGUCUCACAAAGUCAGUGCAAGGACCAAAAAUAAUGUAAUCAAGGGGUUAGCUAGCAAGAACCCCCGCAUUCAUAGGUAGGUAUGAUUACCAAUGCAAGGAUGUUAGGAGGAGUUUUCUUGUUGUUCUGAAAUAGUGGCACUUAGGCCUCAUCUGAAAUCACAGGUAUCAGAUACCUCGUGUGUUCCUGGCUUGCUCAGUCCACCCACCACCACCCAUCAAGACCAGGGAUUUUCAGGGGGAGAUGUCUGGGUGCAGGAGAGAGAGAGGAGCCUUGGCCUUCAGGGAGUGCAGCAUUCGUGGCUGCCCUGAAGCCACGUUUUGUUGGGGGAACCCCCAGAAACCCACUCCAGGUUGUGGGGAUGCUUGCAGUAAGGAGGGGGUGGAGAUCCCAGCUGGCUCUGGAGUGGGCUGGGGUGAGCAGUAUUCUGGAGUUUGGGCCAAACCUGAAGAUGGACCGGCACUUGGUUCCGCCUAUGAAAGCAGCCUAGACUGCCCUGUCCUGUGUCUACAAGAAAGAUGGGUGCCACCACGGUUUUCUGCAGCCCUUGGGGGUUGCUGUGGCUCCUGAGAAAGGUGUAUCUAGUUUACAGGGGGAGCCAAAGCCAGAUACUUUCUGGUGUCUGUGACAUCCUUGGUUUUUAGGAAGCUAGAGCGGCGCUGAAGACUGCUCCAGAAAACCCUUACUCCACUAUGCACAGGCCCUCAAACUCCUCAGAGACCAGCAGCAGGAGCCAGAGCCUGGGAUGCUCCUACAACCCGAAGGGGACCAGAUAGGUAGGAGGACCCCUCAUCUCUCCUUGCAGCUCCCUCUGCCCUACCAGAAGGGGAUGUCUCGGAGCCAGCCACCCCUUCUUUCCAGACUCAGCCUCAGAACAAGCCCCUUGUCCAGUUGGCAAUGGGAAAGAAGAGCUUUGAAUUGGAAAAGAGACUGGAGUUCUAGCUGGACUGGUCCAAGUUUCAGAAACUGAACAUGUGAGGAGAAACAUGGACUCAGAUGUCUGGGAUUCUGCUUCCCUGCCAGGACUUCUCCUCGAGUUUUGUUAUGAUGAUGUUGACGAUGAUGGCGAGAACCAUGAGGAUGCCUUUAAAUGCCUUUACAACUACCCUAUCAGCCCACCAACUCAUCCUGAGUGCUGUGAUCUGACAACAAGACUGGCAAGGAGACUCGCCCAACUGUCCCUCUGCCCCAGGACCCUAGAACCACUCCCUCAAGAAGGGAGGGAGACCUGGUGACUGUGAAGCGGUGAGAUGUCAGAGGACAGAUGACAAACAACUUUCCAGCCAGGAUCCACUGGGCUUCGGUAAUUGGCAGAGCUCCUCAGAGCACCUGGUGUUAUUUUGCAGCACUUCAAAAGAAACAGUGAGAAGGCGGACCGGUUCCCCCCUAUGCCUAGAAAUGUUUCUUCCAGAUAUUGCUUCUUUGGUUUUUAUAAUGGUCAGGCCUGGGUACCGGAGUGCUGGAGAGCUGGCCUUGCUUCCCAGAAAGGAGGAUGAAAGGGAUGCAGGAGCCCACAGUUUCCAUGGAAACGAACUGAGGUGAUGGAGAAAAUAGAGAAACCAGAGGAACCCAGAGGUGGAAGCAGGACUUUUGAAUAACCCAGUCUGAAGCUUGAGAUCUGUGGACUGCUCCCUCUGUGCAAAGGAUUUGGGUCACCAGGAUAGCAACAGGAGGUGACAGCAGUAGCUGAGGGCUGUUGGGUGAUUCUCCCUGGGCAGGGACACAGGGGCUGAGGGUUCAGGUUCCAGAAUUCCACAGGCCCCUUUCAGCUCCUGGAUCUGCUGUUUAUUGGCAGUUCUACCAUGUGUUGACUUUGUGACCCUGGGCAAGGUGCCUACCCUCCCUGAGCUGGGAUUUCCUCACUGGUAAAAUGGGGUAUAAUCCUAGUAACUGCCUCAGAGGCUUUUGUGAACAUUAAGAGAGGUAAUGCAUGUUAAGGAGGACACAAGGCCUGGAACAAAAUAGACAUUCAAAUGUUGUUAUCACGCGGGAGAAAACCAAGGGCAAGUGAUGGCGUGUUUAAUCCAAAUGAGUGCAACCCAUCUCCACCCUGGCCAAACCAACGGGUUCAGGGAUAGCCAAUGAAACAUCAUAUCCCAGAAUGCAAAGGAGCAACUGGGGCCCCCUCUCUAUUUGUAGACAGUCUGGUAUGAAGCUGUGAGGUCUGGAAUCGCUGCAGCUAUCUUGACACCAUGAGUGCAGAGUCUGGAGUAGGAGAAAUGGGAGAGGGCACAGAGUAGACACUGAGGAUGGAGCCAAUGUUGCAAAAGGCAGGGCAGAGAGACUGCAAGAAAUCAGGUCACAGGUGACAUCAUUUGAACUACUUGAUCAAGCUGAGCCUGAAGUACCUUUGGCUUCAGUUGAACAACUUCAGUUGCCGGAGUCCAUAUACCCUUUAGUGUUCAAGCCCAUUUAUGGUAGGUUUCCUCUCAUUUGCAACAAAAAAGGCCUGACUGAUAAUCCACAAAGAGGACAGUUGUCCUGAUGGGAGAUGGAAAGGACAACCUUUUGGAGCCAAACUUCUCCCUCCCUCUUUCUCUUAGAGCACCAGGGCCCCUCCUUCACAGACUGUGUGCGCUGUGUGUCUAUUUUCCACUCCCUCCCAGCAGGCAGCCUUACAACCUUGCCUUUCAUAGUCACCAGCCACAAUUUGUCCUCAAGACUCUCCUCUACCUUCCAUUUCCCCUAACAACCUUGCCCCUGUUUCCAUAUUCCAGGCUUCCGAGAGAAGACUCUAGUUGGUCUAGCUUAUCUGUUCAUGCCAAGCUAUUCACAUCAUCGGCUGCUUUCCUGCCUUGCGAGGUCCCCUAGGGUGGGCAGCCAUCUCUUAGUCCAAUCAGCUGUGGCUGGGGACAAGUCUCAGGAGGGCAGUGGGCAGCACAGAGAAGCCCAUUUCCCUUAGGGACAUCCGUGGGCGUGGUGGGAUUAACUGACGUCUCUAGUGUUGGGAGCUCAACACAGAAAACUCAAACAAGCCACGGAACACGUCUGCUUUAAAAUCGGGUGAAAAACAUUCUGACCAACAAAUCCAAAUAUUAAAGGGAGAAUCUGGGGGAAGGGUGUCAUCUAAAACAGGGGUUGGCAAACUUUUUUUUUUGUAAUGGGCCAGAUAAUGUCUCAACUACUCAACCCUGAUAUUGUAGUGCAAAAACAGCCAUAGAUAAUGUGUAAACAGAGGAACAUGACUCUGUUCCAGUAAUACUCCUUUUAGUAAAAAAAAAAAAAUUAAGUGGUGUGCCUAAUUUGGCCUGUGGGGCAUAGUUUACUGACCCUCAUCUGUUAAAUGAGUUCCAGCUUCUGUCUAACCCUAAUGGAACCUAUGUAGAAGGAUCAUUGUAAUGAUUCCACAAAAUAAUCCAUGUAAAUUACUUAGCACAGUGACUGGCACAGGGUCAAUGGGUGUUGGCUAUUUUUGUUCCCUUUUUUGUUGAGUGGGCUUUGAGAAUAACUGGGUUCCAGAUCCACCAAUGUGCUUGGUUAAUCUAGAAGAGUCCCUUCAUCAUCUCUGAGCGGAGCUGGAAGCUGAUCACGUCCCUUCCCAAGGUGAGAUGGGAUUUCUAAGGAAAGGAGGUGGAGGAGGAAGAGAAAGGCACAGGCAAGGAGGACAAAGGGAAAUGUAGCAGCGAGUGAGUCCAGAUCUGCAGGGCGUCCCUCCAUGUGAGUCGGGCUUGGCUCUGCCUGGGGACCUGGCAGGGAGCUCUGGGCUUGAUUUGCAAACAAAUUUGCUCUAUUUCCUGCCAGCAAAGGACUUCCAGGUGGCCAGGAAUUUGGAUUCUUUUACCAAGGAUGGGAAAAGUGUCCCUAGAGGGGCAGUGUCCCACUUCCAGGAUUCCCCAGAAUGCAGCAGGGAUGUGAGAAUGAGAUGUUCAGACAUAAGGGCUGCGUUUCAUUCACUCAUGAAUUCAUUACAAAUUUUACUCAUUCAUGCUGUGGAAAAAAUAUUGAUGAGCCAUCUACUUUGUGCCAGGCACUCUACUAGGGCCUAGGGAUUCAGUGGUUAGCAAAACAGAAAAGGUUCCUCCCUUCAGGAGUUUAAAGUCCAGUGGGGGAGACAGACAAUUGAUGAAACCACACAAUCACACAUACGUGAAAACAUAGUGACUACCAGGGAGUAACCUUAUCUAGCUUGGGUAGGAGGCCAUCCUGAGAGUGAACUAACCAGGAGGAGACGGGAGUGAGCAUUCCUGGAUUUAAACCCCAUGCACCAAAGCUCCAUGCUGGCAGAGCUGUAAGAAAGCCAGAGAGGAGGGAGCCCAGUGGGACUAGGAGGCAAUGGUGGAAGUGACCCUGGAGACGUUGGCAGGGCCAGACCCUGGAGCACUGGGACCUAUCAAAGGGCUCUCUGCCAGCAACAAACAUAACCAGUAUUGCCUUUUGAUGGGCUCCCUCUGGCUUCUGUGUAGGGGGUGACUAGAGAGGAGCGUAAGUGGACAUAGGGAAACCUAUCAGGUGACUCCUGUGGCUGCCCAGGAAAGAUGGCUGGGCCUCCAGAUAACUGGCCCAGAUAACUGGGCCUCCAGAAAGGGUAGUGGAUAUGGAGCAAAGUGGUCAGGAACUAUGUAGGCAGGAAAAAGGAUUUGGCCAUGAGUUGGGUAUGGACAGUGAGGGAGAGGGACAUUCCCUCCUUGGUACUGGCACCUGGGAGAAAAGCAGUUGCUGACUGAGAUGGGGGAGGCUGGCGGAGGACUGGACUUGAGAGGGAUACACCCUGUGUUUGUUGGAUGUGUUGAGUUUGAGUUGUCUUUGAAUCAGUCUUUGUAUCCCUUUAAAAUUCAGAUAUUGAAAGCCUAGUCCCUAACGUAAUGGUAUUCAGAGUGGGGUCACUGGGACGUGGUUAGAUCGUGAGGGUGGAGCCCUCAUGAAUAGGCUUAAUGCCCUUGUUCAAAAAAAGGAAGAGACAUAGGAUCUCUUUCUGUACUUUCUGCCAUAUGAGGAUACCAGAAACGGUCAUCUGCAAACUACGAAGUGGGUAUUCACCAGACACUGCCUUGCUGACACCUUCAACUUGGACUUCCCGGCCUCCAAAAUUGGGGGGAAAUUGUGUUUGAGCCACCCAGUCUAUGGUGCAUUUGUUAUAGAAGUCUGAGCUGACUGCAACAUCGUCUAAGGGAAUGCAUGAACCAGGCAGGGUAUUUAUGGACCCAGAGUUUGGAGGCGAGGUCUGGGCUAGAAAGGUGCAUUUGGGAAUCCCUGGGUAUGGAAACUGCACUGGGCCCAGCCUUACACACCUGGCUGCUCUUUGCCUCGGGGUCCUCGGGUACUAUCUCCAAGCCCACUUCCCACUGCUCCCAUGCCCAGCAGCCACUGAGGGCAGAGGCAGCGGCUCCAAGGUUGAAGGUGUCCAUGGCCUUGCUCUUCACCUCCCGGAUCAUGAGUCUCACUAAAAGUGACAGUUGCCCCUCCUAAGACAGACAUGUUGGUUCGAACCAUAAAUAGGUAAGUUUAAGGUAUUUCUUCACCUCAUCUCCCGUUCCCUUGAGGAAGAUCAGAGCAAUUACAGGAAAACAAAGGAAAGAUAUUUCCUCUGCACAUCUAUCAGAGAGAAUCUGUGACCCUCUGCACCCAGUCUUGCAUGUCUCCCCGGCAAGAAUGCAGGUAGGAGAUUUUGCACAUCACUUUUCUUCCCAGCUUGCAGCACCAUUCAUGGCCCAUAUGCACUCAAGGGGUGAUUGUUGAAUGAAUGAAGGAUUGAAUGAAGGUCAGAUGAAUGGAAAAGGAUGUUUCUGUUUAUAGAAUCAAGACCCCUCUGGAAGCUCUAGAAAUGACCCCUUGCAUGUACCAGGACAGCUCAGCUCCUGGCAAGCAAGUGCCAGGCAGUGAGCCCACUUGGGCUGCCCUCCGGAGGGCAGGUGCUUGCCCUGCUGGGGGCCUUGGCACCGUCUGGUCAGGAGGAGCUGCCUGGCUCAUAGCUGUUCCCUGAGUUGCCUUCCUGAGCACGUCAGUGGGAAUCCCCUCACAGGCAGGUCGCAGGAGGGGGCAAGUGGUGAGCAGGCCAAAGCCAGAAGAAGCCGUAGUGGGGUGCUUCAUGGAGACUGCAGAUUGGCUGUCAUUGCUGAUGGUAUGAUACAAGCACCAGAAGCCUGGGACCAGCCCAGCCUGCCAGGGAGAUGAUCAAGAGGGAAGAGGAAGAAUGGGAGUGGAAGGGAGGAAAGAGAAAGGCAUGUGAUUUUCGAGGCAUUGCAGAGCCAGUCCAUGAUACCUGGGCCUCCUGGGUCUCCUGCUUAUAGUAGAUGCUAAUGGCACCUGCCAAGAUCCCCUCUGACAAUCGUGCACAAUUCUCCAGCUGCUGUGAGUGUUGGGUGCUGAGGCUCAGACCUGGACCAGUCUCCAGAGAAUUGUCACCUUGCACAGAGGUGCCCUUCCUACCCCAACCUUGGGACAUAGCCAGUGACUGAGAGAUAAGAGGUAUGGAGGCUUGGUGCCUUGCCUUGAGGUGGGAAAACCCUGCAGUACCAUUCAUGCCCCAGAGCUCCCGUGGGAUCAGGCUGGGGCCAGACUUCAGCAGAACCUGCACCUCCACUUCUUCCUUGCCCAACCUUCUCCUCUGGCUCUUUCCAUGCUUUAGAGCCCUUCUAUGAUAACACACCCGCACAAGACUUUUCCAGCAGACCAAAGACGUGCUCUCAGGCUAAAAUUUGUCUCUCACCACUUGUUGAAGCCCCAACCCUUCAUCUAGGACCCAAGUUUCUGAAGCUUCCAGAAAUACGUGCAUUUUCACAUACAGGCAGGUACCCCCACGUCUCUCCGUAAAAGUGGCGUGCCAACAAAGCGUUCUCACGCCACCCUUUAUCUGCUGUAUGAACUUGAACCAAGACUUUGACUUCUCAGAGUUUCUAUUUCUGCAUCCAAAGACCUGGAAUCCUAAUACAAUCUUGCAGAGUGGCUGUGAGAUAGGGAGAGGCAGGGGUGCCUGGUGACAAAGAACCUGGCUUUAGAGUCACACAGACCUGCCCAGCUCUGUGACCUUGGAUGUUGUAAGUUUCUCUGGCCUCCGUUUUCUCAUCCAUGAAAUGAAGUUAAUAAUAGCACUGAAGCCGUAGGUGCCUGAGUGCACUAGUUGCAUGCAAAGCACUUCACACGGAGCCUGGCCCACUUAGUGAAAUACGAGCCAGAGAGCUUAGCUCUCGCCCAGCACACACUAAGUACUCAGUAAGAAGUGAGUAUUGUUAUUUUUAUUAAUGGGAAUUAUAUGUGUCAAGUCAGCUGGUAAAAAUGACAAUACAUACCCUUGGGAUUCAUGAGAGGUGCCUGAAGAGUGUCCCAGAAGUGUGGCAGAAGGACCAGAUGAGGUGUGAUGCAUAGGUGUGGGCUGGGGAGUGGCAGGCAGACGGAGCCCACUUGGGCUUGCUUCUCAGUCAAACUGGCGUGAACCCUAUGGCUACUGUUCUCCAGCAGCCCGCUGCCAGCCGCUUACCUGCUUGCCAGCCAUUUGUCACCCUGUCAUUGCCUCCACACUUGAAAGCAGAUCCCCAGGGAUUGUUGACAAAGCACACAGAGCAAGGAGCCACUUUUUUUUCCCCUCUAGGCCUGGAGAAGGGGAGGCAAGGAUGGCACCCAGCAAAGAAAGAUCAAGGGCUUGUCCUUGGGGAGAGGGCGUCUCAGCAAGAUGAAAAAAGGGUCGGGGGCAGAUCCAGCCAUCUCCUCUGUGUGUGUGUGUAUGUGUAUGUGUGCAUGUGUGUGUAUUUCUGUGUAUGUGUACGUGUGUGUGUGUGUGUGUGUGUGGUCUGCAAGCUAAGAAUGGUUUUUGCAUUUGUAAAUGGCUGGAAAAAAUAAAAGAGGAAUAAUACUUUGUGAGCAUUUAUAUGAAAUUCAAAUUGCAGUGUCCAUAAAUAAAGCUGUUUUGGAACACAGCUGCCUUCAUUCCUUUGCUUACUGUUUCUGGCCACUUUUGUGCUACAAUGGCAGGGCUGAGUGGUUGCGUCAGACUCUAUGGCCUGCAAAGCUGACCAUGUUUACUAUCUGGUCAUUUUCGGAUGAAGUUUGCUGACUCCUGACUAAGAGCAAGAUUGGGCAGAAAGGGAAAUUACAUCCACGCUGCUGACAGUCCCCUCCCUUCCCACCCCUGCCAAAAAUUCCAUCCCUUUUCAGUAAGCUUUCUCUUCCAAUCUUUGGUAUUUUCUAGACACCUGGCUGAUGCAGAGGGAAGGAUCGAUUAAAAAACUCACACUAAGGUAUUGGUGACUUCAUGUAUUCUUCUCCCAGGAGGUUGGACUACAGGAAUAAAUCUUUCAAUGGUGGCAUUUGAGGAACUGUGGAAUGUGUCUGAUUGUGUGCGUGUGUGUGUGUGUGUGUGUGUGUGUGUGUGCACAGGUGCAAGACCCACACACACACAGAUCUGUAAUAAUAAGGGCGGAAGCUUGGAUGCUUCAG